GGAUGCAUGGCUCGACCACUUAUUAUCGAUCUUCCAUCGUGGUAGCACGUAUGAGUUGGUCCAUCGGGCAUUGGCUUCCUGCUAUGUGGUAUGGAGUACGUUGCUCCAGUGCACGUUGGUUGGAGUAUGUCGCUUCUGGCCUCUUCAUCUUUUUUCAAUGGUUUUUUGCUUUGGACUAGUCGAUUAAUUCAAUUGAUUGGUUCGCAUUUAGUUUUUAGUGGGUUUUUGCAACUCUCUUAG